rnacentral:rRNA from 1 species
GACGAACGCUGGCGGCGUGCUUAACACAUGCAAGUCGAACGGAAAGGCCCUGCUUUUGUGGGGUGCUCGAGUGGCGAACGGGUGAGUAACACGUGAGUAACCUGCCCUUGACUUUGGGAUAACUUCAGGAAACUGGGGCUAAUACCGGAUAGGAGCUCCUGCUGCAUGGUGGGGGUUGGAAAGUUUCGGCGGUUGGGGAUGGACUCGCGGCUUAUCAGCUUGUUGGUGGGGUAGUGGCUUACCAAGGCUUUGACGGGUAGCCGGCCUGAGAGGGUGACCGGCCACAUUGGGACUGCGAGACGGCCCAGAAUCGUACGGGAGGCAGUAGUGGGGAAUAUUGCACAAUGGGCGGACGCCUGAUGCAGCAACGCCGCGUGCGGGAUGACGGCCUUCGGGUGGUAAACCGCUUUCGCCUGUGACGAAGCGUGAGUGACGGUAAUGGGUAAAGAAGCACCGGCUAACUACGUG